GACGAACGCUGGCGGCGUGCUUAACACAUGCAAGUCGAACGGAAAGGCCCUGCUUUUGUGGGGUGCUCGAGUGGCGAACGGGUGAGUAACACGUGAGUAACCUGCCCUUGACUUUGGGAUAACUUCAGGAAACUGGGGCUAAUACCGGAUAGGAGCUCCUGCUGCAUGGUGGGGGUUGGAAAGUUUCGGCGGUUGGGGAUGGACUCGCGGCGUAUCAGCUUGUUGGUGGGGUAGUGGCUUACCAAGGAGUUGACGGGUAGCCGGCCUGAGAGGGUGACCGGCAACAGUGGGAAUGAGAUAAGGCCCAGAGGCCUACGGGAGGCAGCAGUGGGGAAUCUGGGACAAUGGGAGCGAGUCUGAUGCAGCGACGCCGCGUGGGGGAUGACGGGCUUCGGGUUGGAAAAGCCUUUCGCUAGGGACGAAGCGCAAGUGACGGUAACUGGAGAAGAAGCACCGGCUAACUACGUG
rnacentral:rRNA from 1 species